rnacentral:lncRNA from 1 species
AUAACUCGAGCACAACGCAUAAAAUUUGAGCAAUGAAAAGAUGGCCAGAACGAGGACAGAGAGCUCAGAACUGUUCACAAAAUAACAAAGGAGGUGCCAGGAGAGAGGCGAAUCCUCUCAGGUGAGACGAGCCACAAAUGAUUCUGUUAACCGUGAAUGUCAAUGUCAACCUCCCGAAAGGAAAAGAAACCACUCGGACUCCAUCUCCUUCUGGAGAAAUCCCAGAAAAAUUCUACAUCUCAAGGGCUGCUUCCCGAAAAAUCUCCUCAGACCUGAUCUCCUUCCAGAAACUUCCUCAGCAGCUCAACAGCUAAAUUCUGAAUAUGGAAUUUAUCACAAACAAAUCACAGAGGAAAAAAAGCUGAGACUGCACGGCCUCAGGCCGAAACGAGUGUAUAAAAUUCGGCAUUUCAAUAAAAACUUUGGAAACUUGAGGGAAUCGAGGUUUGGAGACUGAGGCAGAGACCGGGUCAGGAUUCACCCAGCGCCGAUCCCGGGCUCGGCGUUGCCUUUAAUUGUAGCUGUCCCCAAAUUUAUUUUCGCAGGUUUAGCAAUAAAAAUUGUUAUUCAUGAAAUUGGAUUGAUUUAUUUAUAGCGCAGGGAAGGAAAAAAGGAAAAGCGGAACCAAUCCCCGCCGCACUGCGCAUACGCAGCUCCGGCUACCGUACAUGGCAGCCACGCGCAUGCGCAGUUACGCGCUCCGUACGGCAGCAUGGCGGCCCGCACAGGCGCGGCGCCUUUUGCCGUACAACAUGGUCGUCCUGCGCAUGCGCAGUUCUAUUCGCCGUACAUCAUGGCGGCCCUCACAUACGAAGUUUUAAUUGCCGUACAUCAUGGCGGCCAUGCGCAUGCGCAGUUCCCGCCAACCGCUGCGCUCCCUCUGCUCCGUGCAUGCGUAUUGUUCCGUGACGUCAUCACGCAGCGCCCCGCGCGUGCGCAGUGCCGGGCCAGGCCUGAGGAGGCGGCGAAGCCCCGGGACGGGCCCGGGACCAGCGGGGAAAACGGGAAAAAAACGGGAAAAAAGCGGGGAAAAAAGCGGGAAAAACGGGAUAAUCGGGAUAAUCUGAAUAAUCGGGAUAAUCGGGAUCAGCACAGCGCACUCCCCACCGCAGUUAUGGUGUUUUACUUCACCUCCAACGCCGCUCCCGCUGCCUACACCAUCUACAUGGGCAAGGACAAGUACGAGAGCUGCAAGCUGAGCUCGGUGUCGGUUGUUUACA